AGUCACGCAUGAUAGAAAGGAGCAGUUUCCUCGUUUGAAGCAAGUGACGAAAUUAAAUAUAAUCACCCCACGCAGAUCUAUGUCCAGACUUCCUCGCCAUUUUCAGACCCUGAUCAGUUCCUUUGAUUGCUAUCCAGACCACCCGCUUCCAUUCAUCCGCGUCCAAAGAGUAGUAAGACUGGUCCGGGAGGAAGGAGGGAAAGAAGGAAGGAAGGUAUUGAUUGUGAAGACCUGAAAAUCGGACAUGCGCUAGGAAACAAGGUUGGCCGACUGAAACAAGGUUUGAAAGGGGACCAACACCCGAAGCCAUGAGGCGCUGGCUGGCGCUAGCAUUUCUGAUCGUCGUACUAGUGGCGAUACUCAGUCUUGACGAUGCGGAAUCGUCGAGGAGGCGACGCAGCGUGCGCCGCUAUGCGUCGAGGAGGGUGAUAUUCACCGGUCGGCGAAGGUACAUACCAGUUAGACGCGGACGCUACGUGCGCACGACGCCGCGGAGAGUGGUUCGCAGCACAAGGCGGUACCGACGAACUGGAACCUACUAUGCAUCCUGGAGUCAAUGGUCAGCGUGUACAGCGUCAUGCGGUGAGGGCAUGCAGAAGCGUACGCGAUGCUGCAAAGGAACCGUUUCUGCGUGCAUGGCGAUGCCGCCGAUUCUGCAGACCAGGACGUGUCGGAGCAGUAGCCGAUGCCCAGGUGGAUAUUACUACAGUCCGUGGGGUGCCUGGUCACACUGCUCUCACAGCUGUGGUGAUGGCGUGAGCUAUCGCAAGCGCUGCUGCCGUGGGUCGCCGAUCCUGUGCAUCUACCGGCCACCGCAGAUGGAGACGAUGGCGUGCAAUCUUGGCCUCUGCGCAACGCCAGGUAGGAGAUGUUACGUGCAGUGUACAGUGUUUGUUGCAGCAU